UACAGAGGUCCCAAGCGUUGUUCGGAUUCACUGGGCGUAAAGGGUGCGUAGGCGGUCGGAUAAGUCUGAUGUGAAAUCUUCGAGCUCAACUCGGAACUGCAUCGGAAACUAUUCGGCUAGAGGAUUGGAGGGGAGACUGGAAUUCUCGGUGUAGCAGUGAAAUGCGUAGAUAUCGAGAGGAACACCAGUGGCGAAGGCGAGUCUCUGGACAAUUCCUGACGCUGAGGCACGAAAGCUAGGGGAGCAAACAGG
rnacentral:rRNA from 1 species